rnacentral:snoRNA from 1 species
ACAGACUGAAAAUGAACCCGGGUCAGUCGGUGGUCCGGGCUCAGACACCUGUGCCCACAGAACUGUGGUGCGUUAAGCUUAUCGUGUGUGUCUCUGGGUGUCCGCGCGAUAAAACCCAUGUACCAACAUGU